rnacentral:lncRNA from 1 species
UUCCUUCUCUUCUGGUGAGAGUGUCUUGAGGUAGAAACGAAGAAAUCUGACUCCACCCUAGCACCUGACCAAACUCUUAGUCCCACUCCAAAGCAUGCUCUAAGCUGGACUUUACCUGGGGGCUGCAGGUAGAUUGCCCCUUCAGCUACUCUGUCUUCUCCUGGAACCUACAGUGGAGAUCCCAGUAUGCACCGAGAACCU